rnacentral:rRNA from 1 species
ACGUAGGUGGCGAGCGUUAUCCGGAUUUACUGGGCGUAAAGCGCGUGCAGGCGGGGCGAUAAGUCGUGCGUGAAAGCUCCCAGGCUUAACCGGGCGAGGACAAUGAAGACUGGUCAGCUAGAGGACGGUAGAGGGGUGUGGAAUUCCGGGUGUAGUGGUGAAAUGCGUAGAGAUCCGGAGGAACACCAGAGGCGAAGGCGGCACCCUGGACGACACCAGACGCUGAGACGCGACAGCACGGGGAGCGAACGG